rnacentral:rRNA from 1 species
UGGGGAAUUUUGGACAAUGGGCGAAAGCCUGAUCCAGCAAUGCCGCGUGUGUGAAGAAGGCCUUCGGGUUGUAAAGCACUUUUGUCCGGAAAGAAAUCCUUGGCUCUAAUACAGUCGGGGGAUGACGGUACCGGAAGAAUAAGCACCGGCUAACUACGUGCCAGCAGCCGCGGUAAUACGUAGGGUGCAAGCGUUAAUCGGAAUUACUGGGCGUAAAGCGUGCGCAGGCGGUUUGCUAAGACCGAUGUGAAAUCCCCGGGCUCAACCUGGGAACUGCAUUGGUGACUGGCAGGCUAGAGUAUGGCAGAGGGGGGUAGAAUUCCACGUGUAGCAGUGAAAUGCGUAGAGAUGUGGAGGAAUACCGAUGGCGAAGGCAGCCCCCUGGGCCAAUACUGACGCUCAUGCACGAAAGCGUGGGGAGCAAACAGGAUUAGAUACCCUGGUAGUCCACGCCCUAAACGAUGUCAACUAGUUGUUGGGGAUUCAUUCCUUAGUAACGUAGCUAACGCGUGAAGUUGACCGCCUGGGGAGUACGGUCGCAAGAUUAAAACUUAAAGGAAUUGACGGGGUC